UACGGAGGGAGCUAGCGUUGUUCGGAAUUACUGGGCGUAAAGCGCGCGUAGGCGGUUUUCCAAGUCAGGGGUGAAAGCCCGGGGCUCAACCCCGGAAUAGCCCUUGAAACUGGAAGACUAGAAUCUUGGAGAGGUCAGUGGAAUUCCGAGUGUAGAGGUGAAAUUCGUAGAUAUUCGGAAGAACACCAGUGGCGAAGGCGACUGACUGGACAAGUAUUGACGCUGAGGUGCGAAAGCGUGGGGAG
rnacentral:rRNA from 1 species